UAGCAAAUUGAUGGACAAUGAUUUAUGGUUGUAAUGUACGUAAAAUUUGACACAUUAUACUUUGAGAAUUUUCAUGAAUGUUAGGUUGAUUUUAUUAGUUUAGCAGGAUGGCUUUUGUUGAGUGAGGAAAAAUGUUUCUCUUGUUGCUUUGUUUUCACUGCAUCGAAAUUCAUGCUCGCUGUAGCGAAAAACUCUGGGGUUUGGAGGGGUUUUAAAUAGGAAUGAACUAAAUUGCAUUGUUUGAAACAAGUGCAUCAUGAUUUUAAAUUUUUCCUAAUUGUUGCUUGUUCCCUUCCUUGUUCACUCACUGGG
rnacentral:lncRNA from 1 species